rnacentral:rRNA from 1 species
GCUUAACACAUGCAAGUCGAACGGAAAGGCCCUUUCGGGGGUACUCGAGUGGCGAACGGGUGAGUAACACGUGGGUGAUCUGCCCUGCACUUUGGGAUAAGCCUGGGAAACUGGGUCUAAUACCGAAUACACCCUGCUGGUCGCAUGGCCUGGUGGGGGAAAGCUUUUGCGGUGUGGGAUGGGCCCGCGGCCUAUCAGCUUGUUGGUGGGGUGAUGGCCUACCAAGGCGACGACGGGUAGCCGGCCUGAGAGGGUGUCCGGCCACACUGGGACUGAGAUACGGCCCAGACUCCUACGGGAGGCAGCAGUGGGGAAUAUUGCACAAUGGGCGCAAGCCUGAUGCAGCGACGCCGCGUGGGGGAUGACGGCCUUCGGGUUGUAAACCUCUUUCACCAUCGGCGAAGCCUCUGGGUGUUCUCAGGGGUGACGGUAGGUGGAGAAGAAGCACCGGCCAACUACGUGCCAGCAGCCGCGGUAAU